rnacentral:rRNA from 1 species
CCUACGGGAGGCAGCAGUGAGGAAUAUUGGUCAAUGGGCGCUAGCCUGAACCAGCCAAGUAGCGUGAAGGAUGACUGCCCUAUGGGUUGUAAACUUCUUUUAUAUGGGAAUAAAGUGCAGUAUGUAUACUGCUUUGCAUGUACCGUAUGAAUAAGGAUCGGCUAAAUCCGUGCCAGCAGCCGCGGUAAUACGGAGGAUCCGGGCGUUAUCCGGAUUUAUUGGGUUUAAAGGGAGCGUAGGCGGGUUGUUAAGUCAGCUGUGAAAUUUUGGGGCUCAACCGUAGCAUUGCAGUUCGGACUGGCGUGCUUGAGUACAGGAGAGGCAGGCGGAAUUCGUGGUGUAGCGGUGAAAUGCUUAGAUAUGACGAAGAACGCCGAUUGCGAAGGCAGCUUGCUGGAGUGUAACUGACGCUGAUGCUCGAAAGUGUGGGUAUCAAACAGGAUUAGAUACCCCAGUAGUC